CCUACGGGUGGCAGCAGUGAGGAAUAUUGGUCAAUGGCCGGGAGGCUGAACCAGCCAAGUAGCGUGAGGGAAGAAGGCCCUACGGGUUGUAAACCGCUUUUGCAAGGGAGCAAGAUGCAGGUCGGGACGUGCUGUGCGGGUACCGGGAGAAAAAGCACCGGCUAACUCCGUGCCAGCAGCCGCGGUAAUACGGAGGAUGCGAGCGUUAUCCGGAUUUAUUGGGUUUAAAGGGUGCGUAGGCGGAGGCUCAAGUCAGCGGUAAAAUCGCGCGGCUCAACCGCGCCCCGCAGUUGAAACUGUGUGCCUUGAGUUCACGACGGGUAGGCGGAAUGCGUGGUGUAGCGGUGAAAUGCAUAGAUAUCACGCAGAACUCCGAUCGCGAAGGCAGCCUACCGGCGCGCGACUGACGCUCAGGCACGAAAGUGCGGGUAUCGAACAGGAUUAGAUACCCGAGUAGUC
rnacentral:rRNA from 1 species